GACGGAGGAUGCAAGCGUUAUCCGGAAUGAUUGGGCGUAAAGCGUCCGCAGGUGGCAGUUCAAGUCUGCUGUCAAAGACCGGGGCUUAACUUCGGAAAGGCAGUGGAAACUGAUUAGCUAGAGUGUGGUAGGGGCAGAGGGAAUUCCCAGUGUAGCGGUGAAAUGCGUAGAGAUUGGGAAGAACAUCGGUGGCGAAGGCGCUCUGCUGGACCAUAACUGACACUCACAGGACGAAAGCUAGGGGAGCGAAUGGG
rnacentral:rRNA from 1 species